rnacentral:lncRNA from 10 species
UCAUAUUAUUUAUUAAUAUCUAGUCUAAAGCAGUGAGAUAAAUAUAUACUCUUAUGGAGUCAAAAGAGAAAAGCAUGUUGUAGAAAAAUAUGUAAAUUGUGGACUCCUUGAAAAAACUAAACUCUCUGUCACUCCUACUGUCUCUAGCUUUCAUUCUUUUUUAUUUUUGGAGAUGGAAUCUUGCCCUGUUGCCCAGGCUGGAGUGCAGUGGUGCCAUCUCAGCACACUGCAACCUCUGCCUCCCAGGUUCAAGCAAUUUUCCUGCCCCAGCCUCCCGAGCUGGGAUUACAGGUGCAUGCUGCAUGCCUAGCUAAUUUUUUGUAUCUUUAGUAGAGACGGGGCUUCACCAUGUUGGCCAGGCUGGUCUCGAACUCCUGACCUUAGGUGAUCCGCCCACCUUGGCCUCCCAAAGUGCUGGGAUUACAGGCAUGAGCCACUGCACCUGGCUGCUUUCAUUCUUUUUAUUUAUUUCUGGAUAAAUGCCAGAAAGUGUGCACAUCAAUUCAAGUAUAGUUAUUCAUGGGUGUGGCAUUAGGUGAACUAGAACAUUAUUUUCUAAACUUCUAAACUUUCACUUUUAUAAGAGGA